GCGGAGGGAUCAUUGCUGGAACGCGCCCCAGGCGCACCCAGAAACCCUUUGUGAACUUAUACCUUUUGUUGCCUCGGCGCAUGCUGGUCUCUAGUAGGCCCCUCACCCCGGUGAGGAGACGGCACGCCGGCGGCCAAGUUAACUCUGUUUUUACACUGAAACUCUGAGAAAAAACACAAAUGAAUCAAAACUUUCAACAACGGAUCUCUUGGUUCUGGCAUCGAUGAAGAACGCAGCGAAAUGCGAUAAGUAAUGUGAAUUGCAGAAUUCAGUGAAUCAUCGAAUCUUUGAACGCACAUUGCGCCCUCUGGUAUUCCGGAGGGCAUGCCUGUUCGAGCGUCAUUUCAACCCUCAAGCAUUGCUUGGUGUUGGGGCACUGCUUUUAACGAAGCAGGCCCUGAAAUCUAGUGGCGAGCUCGCCAGGACCCCGAGCGUAGUAGUUAAACCCUCGCUUUGGAAGGCCCUGGCGGUGCCCUGCCGUUAAACCCCCAACUUUUGAAAAUU
rnacentral:rRNA from 1 species